ensembl:rRNA predicted gene, 25606
GUCUUCUGCCACAUCAUCUGAACACUCCUGAUCUAAUCCGAUCCCAGAAGCUAAGUAGGGCCGGGCCUGGCUAACUUGGAUGGGCCACAAAGUCC